ACUCCCUCUCCAACCACCUUUUGACUGCCUUUAGUCUCUCCCUCUCAAGUCACCCUUGGGCAUCACUAUUUCUGUCACAAUUAGACAACCAUUGUACAUCACUUAAUUUUACACCACCAUUAAGCGUCAUCCAUCUACACACCUCCACUAAGCAUCAAACUCCCCUUAACCAUAGCCCUUCUCACUACCAUUAGUCAUCACUAGUGAUGUCGCGAACCGUUCGCGAACUUGC